UAGAGAGAGAGGAAGAGAUCAACUGUCGGUUGUCGGCGGUUUGCGCUUCGGUGGCGGCUCAGGCUUUGGUUCGGGUUUGGGUUCUGGUUUAGGCAUCGGUUCAGGCUUGGGCUCGGGUUUUGGUUCAGGUUUAGGCAUGGGCUUAGGCAUGGGCUCAGGCUUUGGUUCUGGUUUAGGCAUUGGCUUAGGCUUGGGUUCGGGUUUUGGCUCUGGUUUGGGCAUUGGCUCAGGCUUGGGUUCUGGUUUAGGCAUGGGCUCAGGCUUUGGUUCCGGUUUAAUUGGCUCAGGCUUCGGUUCCGGCUUAGGCAUUGGCUCGGGCUUGGGCUCAGGUUUUGGCUCAGGUUUAGGCAUUGGCUCGGGUUUGGGCUCAGGUUUAGGCUCAGGUUUAGGCACUGGCUCAGGCUUAGGCUCGGGUUUAGGCUCAGGUUUAGGCACUGGCUUAGGCAUGGGCUCGGGUUUUGGUUCCGGUUUAGGCAUUGGCUCAGGUUUGGGCUCGGGUUUAGGCUCGGGUUUAGGCAUUGGCUUAGGCAUGGGCUCGGGUUUUGGUUCCGGUUUGGGCAUGGGCUCUGGUUUUGGCUCGGGUUUUGGCAUUGGCUUAGGCAUGGGCUCUGGUUUUGGUUCCGGUUUAGGCAUCGGCUCAGGUUUCGGCUCUGGUUUAGGCAUUGGUUUGGGCAUUGGUUCCGGCUUGGGCUCUGGCUUCGGCUCGGGCUUGGGCAUGGGUUCAGGUUUGGGCUCAGGUUUCGGUCCCGGUUUGGGCAUUGGUUCUGGCUUCGGCUCAGGUUUCGGUUCAGGUUUAGGCAUGGGUUCAGGUUUCGGUUCAGGUUUUGGCUCUGGUUUUGGCAUGGGCUUGGGCUCCGGUUUUGGCAUGGGUUUUGGUUCCGGCUUUG
rnacentral:lncRNA from 1 species